rnacentral:rRNA from 1 species
GAUCUAGCCAUGGGCAGGUUGAAGGUUGGGUAACACUAACUGGAGGACCGAACCGACUAAUGUUGAAAAAUUAGCGGAUGACUUGUGGCUGGGGGUGAAAGGCCAAUCAAACCGGGAGAUAGCUGGUUCUCCCCGAAAGCUAUUUAGGUAGCGCCUCGUGAAUUCAUCUCCGGGGGUAGAGCACUGUUUCGGCAAGGGGGUCAUCCCGACUUACCAACCCGAUGCAAACUGCGAAUACCGGAGAAUGUUAUCACGGGAGACACACGGCGGGUGCUAACGUCCGUCGUGAAGAGGGAAACAACCCAGACCGCCAGCUAAGGUCCCAAAGUCAUGGUUAAGUGGGAAACGAUGUGGGAAGGCCCAGACAGCCAGGAUGUUGGCUUAGAAGCAGCCAUCAUUUAAAGAAAGCGUAAUAGCUCACUGGUCGAGUCGGCCUGCGCGGAAGAUGUAACGGGGCUAAA